rnacentral:rRNA from 1 species
CUACGGGACGCAGCAGUGGGGAAUAUUGCACAAUGGGCGCAAGCCUGAUGCAGCCAUGCCGCGUGUAUGAAGAAGGCCUUCGGGUUGUAAAGUACUUUCAGCGGGGAGGAAGGGAGUAAAGUUAAUACCUUUGCUCAUUGACGUUACCCGCAGAAGAAGCACCGGCUAACUCCGUGCCAGCAGCCGCGGUAAUACGGAGGGUGCAAGCGUUAAUCGGAAUUACUGGGCGUAAAGCGCACGCAGGCGGUUUGUUAAGUCAGAUGUGAAAUCCCCGGGCUCAACCUGGGAACUGCAGCUGAUACUGGCAAGCUUGAGUCUCGUAGAGGGGGGUAGAAUUCCAGGUGUAGCGGUGAAAUGCGUAGAGAUCUGGAGGAAUACCGGUGGCGAAGGCGGCCCCCUGGACGAAGACUGACGCUCAGGUGCGAAAGCGUGGGGAGCAAACAGGAUUAGAUACCCCCGUAGUC